AGCAUUCGAAGAGGCGCGACCAACAAAAGUAGCGGUUACGAGUCGGGAUCAGAUGAAGACCAAUCGUGAAAGGGGCGGUCGCCGAGGUGAUAAGCAUGAUCAACACUUAUUUAACCGGGUCGUGAUUUAAGAGAUUACGGACUGUCGUAGGCUACAGAGGUUUACGGUGCGCUAUCGAGGACA
rnacentral:ncRNA from 2 species